rnacentral:lncRNA from 1 species
CUAAAUUCAAAGCGUAGAGUUUUGCUAUAUAGUAUGUUCAAUCUUAUGAUAAUUACUGCACUAUAUAUUGUUAUUUCCAUGCAGAGAUGACUUGGAAGUUUACUCAACAGAAAUUAAAAAUCUUACCCUGAAAAUCCUUGACCAAAUGGCUAAAGCUCUAAGAAUGGAUCCCAAUGAUAUGGAAGAGUUGUUUGAAAACGGGAUGCAAGCAUUCAGGAUGAAUUAUUAUCCUCCUUGUCUGCAACCAGAAAAAGUUGUCGGCCAUAAUUCUCAUUGUGAUGCCGCCGCACUCACCGUCCUCCUCCAAAUCAAUGAGAUGGAUGGUCUCCAAAUUAAGAAAGAUGGAAAAUGGGUUGCUGUUAAACCCCUUCGAGCUUUAUAUUUGCUAUAUGAACGAUGUAUGGAAAGAACAUCUUGCUUUAAUUUGCAUAUAUGCAGUUGAUUAAUCAUGGAGUUAGCAGUUCAUUGGUGGAGAAAGUGAAAGCAGAGAUUCAAGACUUCUUUAAUCUUCCAAUUGAUGAGAAAAAGAAGUUUUGGCAACAACCAGGAGAUAUUGAGGGAUUUGGGCAGCACUUUAUUGCGUCUGAAGAGCAGAAGCUUGAUUGGGGAUACGGCUUUACUAUGGUCACUCUCCCAACUCAUCUGAGGAAACCCCACUUGUUCCCUAAGUUGCCUCUUCCAUUCAGGUUCUAAAUUCAAAGCGUAGAGUUUUGCUAUAUAGUAUGUUCAAUCUUAUGAUAAUUACUGCACUAUAUAUUGUUAUUUCCAUGCAGAGAUGACUUGGAAGUUUACUCAACAGAAAUUAAAAAUCUUACCCUGAAAAUCCUUGACCAAAUGGCUAAAGCUCUAAGAAUGGAUCCCAAUGAUAUGGAAGAGUUGUUUGAAAACGGGAUGCAAGCAUUCAGGAUGAAUUAUUAUCCUCCUUGUCUGCAACCAGAAAAAGUUGUCGGCCAUAAUUCUCAUUGUGAUGCCUCCGCACUCACCGUCCUCCUCCAAAUCAAUGAGAUGGAUGGUCUCCAAAUUAAGAAAGAUGGAAAAUGGGUUGCUGUUAAACCCCU